AAUUAAUGAUUUAAGUCCUUCUUAAAUGAGGCCAUUUACCCAUAGAGGGUGCCAGGCCCGUAUAACGUUAAUGAUUACUAGAUGAUGUUUCCAAAGAGUCGUGUUGCUUGAUAGUGCAGCACUAAGUGGGUGGUAAACUCCAUCUAAAACUAAAUAUAACCAUGAGACCGAUAGUAAACAAGUACCGUGAGGGAAAGUUGAAAAGAACUCUGAAUAGAGAGUUAAACAGUACGUGAAACUGCUUAGAGGUUAAGCCCGAUGAACCUGAAUAUCCGUUAUGGAAAAUUCAUCAUUAAAAUUGUAAUAUUUAAAUAAUAUUAUUAAGAAUAAUGUGCAUUUUUUCCAUAUAAGGACAUUGUAAUCUAUUAGCAUAUCCCAAAUUUAUCAUAAAAUAUAACUUAUAGUUUAUUCCAAUUAAAUUGCUUGCAUUUUAACACAGAAUAAAUGUUAUUAAUUUGAUAAAGUGCUGAUAGAUUUAUAUUAUUACAGAGCGUUAAUUUUUCGGAAUUAUAUAAUGGCAUAAUUAUCAUUGAUUUUUGUGUUUAUUAUAUGCUCUUGUAUGAUUAACAAUGCGAAAGAUUCAGGAUACCUUCGGGACCCGUCUUGAAACACGGACCAAGGAGUCUAACAUAUGUGCAAGUUAUUGGGAUGUAAACCUAAUAGCGUAAUUAACUUGACUAAUAAUGGGAUUAGUUUUUUAGCUAUUUAUAGCUAAUUAACACAAUCCCGGGGCGUUCUAUAUAGUUAUGUAUAAUGUAUAUUUAUAUUAUUUAUGCCUCUAACUGGAACGUACCUUGAGCAUAUAUGCUGUGACCCGAAAGAUGGUGAACUAUACUUGAUCAGGUUGAAGUCAGGGGAAACCCUGAUGGAAGACCGAAACAGUUCUGACGUGCAAAUCGAUUGUCAGAAUUGAGUAUAGGGGCGAAAAACCAAUCGAACCAUCUAGUAGCUGGUUCCUUCCGAAGUUUCCUCAGAUAGCUGGUGCAUUUAAAAUAUAUAAAUAAUCUAUCUGGUAAGCGAUGAUAGAGGCUUAGGUCGAAACGAUCUUACCUAUUCUCAACUUAAUGGGUAGACCUACUUCUGAAAAAGUCAGGUAUAAUAAUGGGCCCGGGGCCUUUGUGAAAAAGGAGCGGGGGGGAAAACAAAAAAUGUCCGGCCCAUUUCCCCGCAAUCAUGAGGGGGGGGCAAAAAGGGGGG
rnacentral:ncRNA from 1 species